rnacentral:rRNA from 1 species
AGAGUUUGAUCAUGGCUCAGAUUGAACGCUGGCGGCAGGCCUAACACAUGCAAGUCGAACGGUAACAGGAAGCAGCUUGCUGCUUUGCUGACGAGUGGCGGACGGGUGAGUAAUGUCUGGGAAACUGCCUGAUGGAGGGGGAUAACUACUGGAAACGGUAGCUAAUACCGCAUAACGUCGCAAGACCAAAGAGGGGGACCUUAGGGCCUCUUGCCAUCAGAUGUGCCCAGAUGGGAUUAGCUUGUUGGUGAGGUAACGGCUCACCAAGGCGACGAUCCCUAGCUGGUCUGAGAGGAUGACCAGCCACACUGGAACUGAGACACGGUCCAGACUCCUACGGGAGGCAGCAGUGGGGAAUAUUGCACAAUGGGCGCAAGCCUGAUGCAGCCAUGCCGCGUGUAUGAAGAAGGCCUUCGGGUUGUAAAGUACUUUCAGCGGGGAGGAAGGUGGUGAGGUUAAUAAGCUUAUCAAUUGACGUUACCCGCAGAAGAAGCACCGGCUAACUCCGUGCCAGCAGCCGCGGUAAUACGGAGGGUGCAAGCGUUAAUCGGAAUUACUGGGCGUAAAGCGCACGCAGGCGGUCUGUCAAGUCGGAUGUGAAAUCCCCGGGCUCAACCUGGGAACUGCAUUCGAAACUGGCAGGCUUGAGUCUUGUAGAGGGGGGUAGAAUUCCAGGUGUAGCGGUGAAAUGCGUAGAGAUCUGGAGGAAUACCGGUGGCGAAGGCGGCCCCCUGGACAAAGACUGACGCUCAGGUGCGAAAGCGUGGGGAGCAAACAGGAUUAGAUACCCUGGUAGUCCACGCCGUAAACGAUGUCUACUUGGAGGUUGUGCCCUUGAGGCGUGGCUUCCGGAGCUAACGCGUUAAGUAGACCGCCUGGGGAGUACGGCCGCAAGGUUAAAACUCAAAUGAAUUGACGGGGGCCCGCACAAGCGGUGGAGCAUGUGGUUUAAUUCGAUGCAACGCGAAGAACCUUACCUGGUCUUGACAUCCACGGAAGAAUCCAGAGAUGGAUUUGUGCCUUCGGGAACCGUGAGACAGGUGCUGCAUGGCUGUCGUCAGCUCGUGUUGUGAAAUGUUGGGUUAAGUCCCGCAACGAGCGCAACCCUUAUCCUUUGUUGCCAGCGGUUAGGCCGGGAACUCAAAGGAGACUGCCAGUGAUAAACUGGAGGAAGGUGGGGAUGACGUCAAGUCAUCAUGGCCCUUACGACCAGGGCUACACACGUGCUACAAUGGCGCAUACAAAGAGAAGCGACCUCGCGAGAGCAAGCGGACCUCAUAAAGUGCGUCGUAGUCCGGAUUGGAGUCUGCAACUCGACUCCAUGAAGUCGGAAUCGCUAGUAAUCGUGGAUCAGAAUGCCACGGUGAAUACGUUCCCGGGCCUUGUACACACCGCCCGUCACACCAUGGGAGUGGGUUGCAAAAGAAGUAGGUAGCUUAACCUUCGGGAGGGCGCUUACCACUUUGUGAUUCAUGACUGGGGUGAAGUCGUAACAAGGUAACCGUAGGGGAACCUGCGGUUGGAUCACCU